UCCUACGGGAGGCAGCAGUGAGGAAUAUUGGUCAAUGGACGAGAGUCUGAACCAGCCAAGUAGCGUGAAGGAUGACUGCCCUAUGGGUUGUAAACUUCUUUUAUAUGGGAAUAAAGUUUUCCACGUGUGGAAUUUUGUAUGUACCAUAUGAAUAAGGAUCGGCCAACUCCGUGCCAGCAGCCGCGGUAAUACGGAGGAUCCGAGCGUUAUCCGGAUUUAUUGGGUUUAAAGGGAGCGCAGGUGGAUUGUUAAGUCGGUUGUGAAAGUUUGCGGCUCAACCGUAAAUUGCAGUUGAAACUGGCAGU
rnacentral:rRNA from 1 species